UUUUUUUUUAGUGGUGUGUUUCAGUUUGCUGUUUUCUGUUAUUUUUUUAAUCAGAGCUGUUUCUGCUCUGGAGAAGGAUCUGGGACUUUUUUUCUCUAGACUACCUACAGUUACCUGGGUGUGGUCACCAUUUUCCUGAUGAUUUCCUCCCUCAAGAACAGGACCCUUUUUAGGCUUUCUGAAGAGUGGUUAUGAUGUAGAGUCAGCUCUAGUUUUUUUACCACUUUGGACAGGUAUAUGAGGUACAGAAUAAGUCACAUUCAAACAGGAUUUGUAAGGUUUAAUGGGAUGUCCUCAGUUUUACGUGGCUUCCAAUGAAUUACGGUCCCUUGAGAGGGGGCAGAAGAAUGGUAGAGUCUGCAGGUACAAAACUGUAAGAGAUAGCACACAAUAUUCCUGCUCUUUUGACGAGCUUUGUAGUGACUCUAUGGUUAUCAAGGAAACUGUGUCUGGCUGUGCCUCUGGCAUCACUCUAGCUUUUGUGAAGCCCCCUGCAUGUUGUUUGUCUGUCUUCAGCUAGUUCAGAAAGAGCUUCCUGGAUCUUCAGAUGAGUCUCCAGCAUUAGUGCACCUUUCACAGCACUUGGGUGCCAGUUGUGCUCAUUUCUGCUCAAAGGUGAUGGGUCUUGGCAUUUUUUUAGGUUGAAACACAAGUGUAGCAGCAUUGAGCUGACGGUAAAUUGCUUUGAAGCUUUUUCCAUGUUCAGUGCUGUAUAACUUCUUACAAGUUCUCAUGAAAGUACAUCUUCCCCAUCCUAGUUUUACAUUGAACAAGGAAGAAGCCUUUCUUGCAACCAUCCUGUGUAGACCUGGUUUGAGUUUUGUUUUGUUUUUUAAAUUACCACAUUGUUGAGCACAAUAUGCAGGGGGAUUGUUUUGCUUGUAAAUUCAAACUCUGCACUAGGGAAAAUUAAGUGUUUCUCUUGGGUGUUUCUCAGAAAAAACAUUUGCAGAUUUUAGAGCUGACAGCCUGUAUAAUAUGUAAAACAUCUGGCUUUGGUGACCACUUCAAGGUCAGGAGUGGAAAAAUCACAUCUCCAUCAUACUGGUAAGUAUGGCCAGACUGAAAAGUGCCAUUUCUGUGUAUGCUGAAUGCUUUGAAGGAGAGGGGAGAAUGCCAAGUGACAAGAGCAAACUCAAAGUCGCAAAACUUCAGGAGUCUCACAUUUGUACCUUGCCUGCAGGCAUGCAGAUAGCUGCAUGCUCUUGCAAAUACUUAAGAGGAAUUUGUGAGUACUGAGCAGCAAAGACUUUGAAGAAAUUCAGGGGUCUUAGCUGGAUUUGGAUCUCACCUGCUGUUUGGAGGGGAUGGGGGUCAAAGUAUGGAACUUUGUCAGCUCCCGUUGUCAGCUUUUUUUUUUUUCUUUUUUUACAUGUCAAGCUUGACUGUAAGUAAUUGCUGCACAUGUACCAAAGUCAAACUCUGCUGCAUCAGAGUUGCUUGACCCUGUCUAUUAGGGGUGCAUUGCAGCUGACAGAAGCAGGUUUCAAGGUCCUCUCUCCUACCAGACAAAAGCAGUUCCAGAGAACUUUUGUUGACUUUUACUACCGCUUACUGAGUUUCAUCAAGGUUUUGAUGGCUUUGAAGUUGAGUGAAUAUACAGAACAUUUAUUCCUUUCCUGAAAUAUGAAAAAAGAACCCCAAACUCAUAGCUCCCAAAUGAGUUGGCUCUAAAAGUGGAAGGAACACAUGAGAUGUAACUUGCCAGCCCAUAGGGGAUAAUCUCAAGUCUUUAGCAGGAGAGGGAGGAGGAAGUAAUGAGUUGAAUAGAAAUGAUAAAGUAGGAUGUGAAGAGACUGGUACAUGAGACCAAGAUACAACAUGUUGGGUGGGUAUGAGGAAUAUGGGACAGUCCAAUUUAAAAUAUACUAUAGGUGUCUGCUUUGAGAGGAACAUGGAAGUGUGGGGAAAAAGAAUGCACAAUAUAUUUGUCUCUGAAAAGACAGUUGAUGCACCCCAUCCAUCCUUCAUGCGUGUGUGUUGCAAACAAGCAUAUUUUUAUCUCUGAAGAGAUGUUCAUAACUUUACUUGCACUAGGAACUGGUUUACUUGUCUGUAUUCCAAAAGUAAGUUGUUGGACUUUCCUCUUAUUAAAUAUGCACCUUGGGAUUAAACUUCUAGUGGUAAUAGUUUAUGGGGUCUUCUGGAGAAAUUACUGUUACUACCUUUGUAUAUAACGUGGCGAUAAAUGCUAGAAGUGGCGACUGGCUCGUUUAGCCUCUAAGACUAGUGCUGUCCUUUUCAUAUGGCUAAAAAUUUGCAGGGCAUACCUCACAUCAGAGUGGAAGGGAUGUAAAACAAAGAGAUGGGCUUAACAACUUAAACAACUUCACCAGGAUCACACCCAGGCAAGCUGUGAUAAAAGGUGCACGCUUCAGGGCAGUGUCUGAACUGAAAUUCAUUAUUUCUUUAAAAUACUGUUGGAGACGGGAAGUAAAAUUUCACCUCUGAAUAUUCAGUUCUCCUUGUAGGCUUGUCUGUCUUGUGUCAGUGUAGUUUGCAAGGGUGAAACCAGUUCCUCUCCUGGAUUUGUUUCGAGGGCUGAUACAAUUCUAUUUUAUUUUAUUUAAAAGCAAAAAGAUGAAGCCAUCAUAACUAAAGUGUAGAGAUUUGACUCCUACUCACAAAUGAAAAGCCUAAUGCCUGAAUAUCGUGUUGGGUUGUGAGUUGUAUUUUGCUACCUAAAGAAAGCAAGGGUCAACCAAAAAGCCAAGAAUAAAAACCUCUCAAAAGUGUCUGAAGCCAAGUCAUUUUGGUUGUAAAUGUGUCUUGCUUACGUUACUGCAUGUGAGCAAGCUUUAUAAAUCUAUUUAAAAAGAUUGCAUUAUAGCAGAAGGCAUGGUGGUGGCUCUAAGGAACAGAAGGAGACUAGAAUUUUGGGGCUGAAUUAAUGGCUGUUGGAAUCCUGAGAAUUUUUUUCAUGCAGUAAGAUACUGCACUAUAUAACCACUAUAGAAAAAAAUCAAAUGCCACCACCCCUAGAUCUGAAAAGUAAAAUGUUGCUGAGUGCUGUACCAGAGCUGUUUUUUUCUGUACUUCAGAACUGUUUUUAUAGGAGCACUUGAGAACAUCCUUGGACGUCAAAGAGAAUAUUUCCUCGUGGAAAAUGAGAUUGUGGACACCACUAAUGUCUGCCAAAGGGCUGUGGGUAAUAACAAUCUGAGAUUGGAGUCCAGUUGAUGGUGUUCUUGAUAGCAAAGAGCAAAGUUUGAGCUGUCACAUUAGGCAUAUUUAUUUUCCCUUCGCUUCCCCUUCCCCAGCCACAAUAAUAGUGAGUAAUAUCGUGCUGGACGUUAGUUCUGCAGAGUCAUAUUUUAAUGAACAAGCAGAAACUGUACAAAGUUAACUCUCUUCAAUCCUAAAUAUCUCUUGUAUCUAGAACUCCUGUAGACAGCAAUUUUGAAACUUCUUUGACUUGUUUUAUUUUUUCCCACCUGUUCCCACUUUAAGAAUACUAUAGCUGUUUGAUUAUUUUUUUAAUUUUUUUAAACCCUUUAUUUAAAAUAGCACAUUAGGAAAUGACUGUAUGUAGCUGAGAGUUGCUGUAGCUCUGCAACCAUGAAACAUUAUGCAGUGAGAUGAGGAGGGAGGGCACGUAUUUCAUGAUAAACCCAAGGCUUAUACAAAUCCAAGAGGGCAGGUGGGGAGCAGGGGGCCAGCUUGGCCGGGAUGUGACUAGGACACCAGGAAGGGGAUGCAGAAAUGCUUCAGGCUUGUGGGACUGGAGAGAGAGCGGGUGGGGUCCCGCUGUGUCACAAAAAACCACGUUCUUUGUGUCCCAGAGGUGACAGAGGCACACCGCUCUCUUAGAGGGAGAGGAUGCUAUUUGACACAAAAAUCCACCGGGGCAGGGAUGGAGGAGUGGGGAAGGGGGUGGUUACACCUCCAGUGUUACAGUAGGUUUGCAAAUUUGUUCAUUCCCUUAUAUGAGAGUGCCUGGAGCGCAGCUGCUCUGCUUCCAACCUGCGCUUGCCAUUUCUGCUCCCACAUGUGCCUGAGGGCCUCUCUGGCCCCCUGCUACCCCAGUGCUUUUGCAUUCUUCCAGGGCUCCCUGAGCACUGUCCCACCUGCUGUCAAAUGAGCUGUAGGCCUUUCUCUACUGCUGUGACCCUUGAGUGGGGGCUAGAGUAAAUUGUAGCAUGCUUGGCUGAGGAAAACAUUUGGGUUUGUUUUUUUUUCUGGGAUGACAGCUGGUCAUGUCCGCUGGCUGCCUUUCCAGGUGGUCAGGUGCUACCCACGCUCUGGCUGCACAAAAUGCCUUGAGAAUAGUGGCUACCAAAUCAUGGCUGGCAGCACAGGCUCUGGCUGGUGCUGCUGCCUGCCCUGAGUUGGUGCUGUCUGACAAAAGCUCUGUGUACUAAGCUGCCGUCUCUGGAAGGCCAACUAACCUUGAAUUGCUCCUUGUCCUUUGCAGAGGUGGUGAGGUUAUACAUGACACAGCUGAACCGUGACAGCUCAUGAAACGUACCCAUCACCUGGCACUGCAUUUAGAGUCCCUUAACCAUGCAACAGCCACCCAGCAACAGCUUCACACCAGACUUGGGUAGUCUUUCUGUUGAAGAGAGAGAGAGAAGGAGACUGAAAAACUGUUGUAGGUUUCAUGGACAGGACAUCUGUUUGCCAGUCUCCUAAAAAUGGUGUCACUUCAGCACACACCCACAUCAACAUGUGAAAACACGCUGAGGGAUGGGAUCUACCCAUCCUGUAACAAUUCAUAGCUGGGUGAGGAUGCUUGCCCAACAGCAGAAGCCUCCCAUCGCUCUCCCUGAAGAAGUUAAUGCAGUGUUUCCCUCUAUAUCUGCUGUAGAGUGUGCAUGGACUGACUGCAGCCUCUCUGUGGUUCAGGGUGUGCACAGCUGAGGAUGCAAGGCAUUGGUUUAGGGUGGGAGUGUGCUGCUGCAGAAUUCUCUUGGAGAAGAUAACAUUUCUGGGACCUGUACAGGGAUUAAAAGGAAGGUGGCAUUAAGCUGCCAGAAGAGCCCAGAUCCGUGCCGUGUCCCUCCAGAGCCGCAGUACCUGGAGCAGCCUGUGCCCAGCCCUGUGGUCCUGUGACACACCAGGGAGCUUUUCUUGCUGUUGGUGCUGCAGCCAGGACCUGUCCCACCCUGCAGAGACUGCACCAGCAUCUGCAGGAGGGCACCUUCCACUUCAGCUUUGUGCCUGCCUCCAAACACAACACCUUCCCAGCAGAUCAUUACUGGGAUGCUCCAGGGAAGAGACCAAUUUUAGUGGGAAGACAAAGGCAGGGCAGCAAAGCAGUGGGGAGAAAGUGGGGUAAGAGCAGAGAGGCCCUAUGGCUAUUCCUGCCAUUUUAAAUUGCUUACUGAAGCCACAAGAAUAACUAAAACCUCCAACUACACCAUAUUCCUAUAGCCCAUAUCCUGUACCAGGCCUUCACUGAGCUCUAGCCCACAUCUUGCCCCAGACUUUUUAUGCCACUAGUAACAUCUCUCUGAAAAGAAGGUACUUGCAGUAAACAUAAAAACUAUGAUCCAGAGAUUGACAUCAGUUAAAGAAAAAUAAAGCAAGAUCUGCUUUUAAAUUAAGCAGUGGUGAAGCCAAAUACUUGACUUGUUGGGUUUUGCCCCUUCAAAAAUUCUUUGUUAUCCAGUUUAGGACGUGUCAUGUCCAAGACAUACUAAGGCAGAAAAGCAGGUGAAAUUAUGUAAAUGGAAGGUGAUGGAUGGAACAGAGACAGGGUGAGCUAUUGAGGACAAGCUGCUGCACCUGCUUAGAAAUUUAAUCUAGUCUUAAAGCAGCCUGGCCUGGCAGAAGCUAAAAGGAAAUAGGAAUUAAGGCCAUGGCCACGUCCCAUUUAAGCUUUCACACCUGUAGUACACUAUCCCUCCCUGGGCCUGUUACACCCCUCUGGUUCCCUGGCUUAGCCGAGGCACAGGAAUUCUGUGUUUUAUAAAACCCCCCUUACUUCCUAAAACUCUGUCCUGCAUCUCUUGCAGAGCUGUGUUAAUGCCAAACAUGUCGGGAAAUUAACUUUGUCACUGCCACGGAUGCAAGCAGUGUGGUAUCUGCAACCCACAAAAGGAUGCCUUUGGGCUUACUCCUGAGCCCUGAACUGGAAAAACGAGCUCCUCUCUCAUCUUCCCAGUCAUUCUUGCAGCAAAGAAUCACUCAUAGAAUCUAGUUAGCUGUAUAUUUACUUUUCAUUUCCCAGCUAGUUGCAGACAUUUCCCCCCCACCAUCCUUUAGCUUGUUUGUGGUCCUGUCAGCGUUGCUGCUGGUCCACGUUCAGCCUGGAGUGCAGUGUAGAGGAAAUACGAGCCUGCAGUCCUGCACUCUUCUAUCCCCGGACAGGUUAGGACAAAAUAAGAAUUCCUUACAUGCAAGGAGUGCCACCUAACGGCCUGUUGAGGGAUCCCAAAGCUCCACACAAAGCCCUGGGGUCUUGGCUUUUUUCCAUACACAUGAAUCCAUGAAAUCACACACACGUAUUUUCACAUAUAGUGAAAUGCGAGUCUCUUUCAUGGCCUGUCUGCCCACAGACCACACUUCAAGGGUAAUUUUUAUGCAGAGUCUUUAUAUUCAUAUUUUUUAAAUAGUUUCUUAAAUCCCAGGGCUUCAAGACAGCUGCAGUAAUCCAGAUGCAAGUAAGAACUUGGGUAUUUCAGUUUGGAAUGUAAAACUGAUGAAUCCUGGUUCUCUUUUAGGAGCAGCUGCUGGAGACCAGUGGUUGCACUGCUGCCUUCACCACGUCAGGCUGCAACAAACAUGCUCAUAGGGCAAUGCAGGCCAGGUGUAACCUUUUAGUGGCCUUUCAAUUUAAGGUGAGAAGAUUGGACAAAAGGCACAGACGUGGUGUUCUAGGAUGACCAGACCCAGCAGUGCUGAAGCAAACCUCUGUGGUGGCAGUUUCUUCACCAUUCUCCAGCCAGAGUAGCCUGGGUCAUCCCACCACCACCAUGGAUUGCUCCAUCCACUUGGAAGGAGACGUCCAUCGUCCAUCAGUCUUUUUCCUCAGAAACUUGUUGAUUCCUUCUUGCUGUUAACCCUUCAGGAAAGUGUAUCUUGCUUUACUUGAAGAGAUGCCGUGUGUACGGAAAAUGCAGAACUGAGGGGCUUCAGAAGAACACACAUGGAAGAAAACCCUCACAAGCCAUUUAGUGUCCUCCUGCUGCAUCAAGGGAAGUUUGAAGUUUGAGUAGCUAUUUUGCACCUCAGGAAUUAUGAUUCACUUCUUGUCCAGUUAUGACAAAGCCCUAUCUAGCCUUUAAUUUUGUACUAGAUCGUUACCUGGUGACCUUCAUAACAUUGACCCAGAGGCAGGUAGCACAGCAAAUGAGCAAUAUUUCUCUGGUUGUUCUCUUGGAAAAUGUUCCUGCAAAGGGGGCUCAAGUAACAAGUUCCUGGUUCCACAGGCUUGCCCUGCCUGAGGGGCCUGCUUCCACCUAGAUGGAAAUAGCCUCCUCAUCAGCUUAUGCACAGGCAUUAGGGUUGAACUGGCUGUGAGAAUACACUUCUGCCAUGUGACCCACUUAUGCCAGGUGGAAACAAAAAAGGGUUGGACUAAAGGAGACAUGAACACACACUACUGCUGUUAAAAUAUGUUCUAAAACACACUAUUUAUAUUGUAUAUGUUCUUGCAAUAUAUAAAUAAAAUGUAUUAGACA